AUUGAACGCUGGCGGCAGGCCUAACACAUGCAAGUCGAGCGGAUGAAGGGAGCUUGCUCCUGGAUUCAGCGGCGGACGGGUGAGUAAUGCCUAGGAAUCUGCCUGGUAGUGGGGGAUAACGUCCGGAAACGGGCGCUAAUACCGCAUACGUCCUGAGGGAGAAAGUGGGGGAUCUUCGGACCUCACGCUAUCAGAUGAGCCUAGGUCGGAUUAGCUAGUUGGUGGGGUAAAGGCCUACCAAGGCGACGAUCCGUAACUGGUCUGAGAGGAUGAUCAGUCACACUGGAACUGAGACACGGUCCCGACUCCUACGGGAGGCAGCAGUGGGGAAUAUUGGGCAAUGGGCGAAAGCCUGAUCCAGCCAUGCCGCGUGUGUGAAGAAGGUCUUCGGAUUGUAAAGCACUUUAAGUUGGGAGGAAGGGCAGUAAGUUAAUACCUUGCUGUUUUGACGGUACCAACAGAAUAAGCACCGGCUAACUUCGUG
rnacentral:rRNA from 1 species